GGCUCAGGAUGAACGCUAGCUACAGGCUUAACACAUGCAAGUCGAGGGGCAGCGGGAUUGAAGCUUGCUUCAAUUGCCGGCGACCGGCGCACGGGUGAGUAACGCGUAUCCAACCUUCCGUACACUCAGGGAUAGCCUUUCGAAAGAAAGAUUAAUACCUGAUGGUAUGAUGAGAUUGCAUGAUAGCAUCAUUAAAGAUUUAUCGGUGUACGAUGGGGAUGCGUUCCAUUAGGUAGUAGGCGGGGUAACGGCCCACCUAGCCAACGAUGGAUAGGGGUUCUGAGAGGAAGGUCCCCCACAUUGGAACUGAGACACGGUCCAAACUCCUACGGGAGGCAGCAGUGAGGAAUAUUGGUCAAUGGACGAGAGUCUGAACCAGCCAAGUAGCGUGAAGGAUGAAGGUCCUACGGAUUGUAAACUUCUUUUAUAAGGGAAUAAACCCUCCCACGUGUGGGAGCUUGUAUGUACCUUAUGAAUAAGCAUCGGCUAACUCCGUG
rnacentral:rRNA from 1 species